UGAUGUGCAGUCAUCAUUGGUGAGCUAUCUUUGUGUGUGCUCAAGCUUUGGACCACAUGUCUGCUUUGCCUGCAUAUGAGAAACAAGGAUGGAAUGUUCAAAAGGUUAUAGGAAUCAGAAGAGGACYGCAAGGCACAAUAUAUAAACCUAUUUUCAUGAUUUGCAAAUGAGAUGAGGAUAAGUGUCUUUAAUGAAGUCCAUGGCAGUUACGGAAAGAACCAACCACCAAAAAAAAAAAAAUC
rnacentral:lncRNA from 1 species